rnacentral:rRNA from 1 species
GAUCCGACUUUGAUUAUGGCUCAGGAUGAACGCUAGCUACAGGCUUAACACAUGCAAGUCGAGGGGCAGCGGUAUCGAAAGCUUGCUUUCGGUAGCCGGCGACCGGCGCACGGGUGAGUAACGCGUAUCGAACCUGCCUCAUACUCGGGAAUAGCCUUGCGAAAGUAAGAUUAAUGCCCGGUGUUUUCAGAGUCCCGCAUGAGGCUUUGAACAAAGAUUUAUCGGUAUGAGAUGGCGAUGCGUCCCAUUAGCUUGUUGGCGGGGUAACGGCCCACCAAGGCAUCGAUGGGUAGGGGUUCUGAGAGGAAGGUCCCCCACAUUGGAACUGAGACACGGUCCAAACUCCUACGGGAGGCAGCAGUGAGGAAUAUUGGUCAAUGGGCGGAAGCCUGAACCAGCCAAGUAGCGUGCAGGAAGACGGCCCUCCGGGUUGUAAACUGCUUUUAGUUGGGAAUAAAACGGGGCCCGUGAGCCCCCUUGCAUGUACCAUCAGAAAAAGGACCGGCUAAUUCCGUGCCAGCAGCCGCGGUAAUACGGAAGGUCCGGGCGUUAUCCGGAUUUAUUGGGUUUAAAGGGAGCGCAGGCGGACCUUUAAGUCAGCUGUGAAAUACGGCGGCUCAACCGUCGAACUGCAGUUGAUACUGGAGGUCUUGAGUGCACACAGGGAUGCUGGAAUUCAUGGUGUAGCGGUGAAAUGCUCAGAUAUCAUGAAGAACUCCGAUCGCGAAGGCAGGCAUCCGGGGUGCAACUGACGCUGAGGCUCGAAAGUGCGGGUAUCAAACAGGAUUAGAUACCCUGGUAGUCCGCACAGUAAACGAUGAAUACUCGCGGUUUGCGAUACAAUGUAAGCCGCCAAGCGAAAGCGUUAAGUAUUCCACCUGGGGAGUACGCCGGCAACGGUGCAACUCAAAGGAAUUGACGG